rnacentral:tRNA from 1 species
GCCUGGGUGGCUCAGUGGUUGAGCAUCUGCCUUUGGCUCAGAUCAUGAUCCGGGGGUCCUGGGAUGGAGUCCCCCAUCAGGCU